AUUGAACGCUGGCGGCAGGCCUAACACAUGCAAGUCGAACGAGUGGCGGACGGGUGCGUAAUGUCUGGGAAACUGCCUGAUGGAGGGGGAUAACUACUGGAAACGGUAGCUAAUACCGCAUACCAUCGGAUGUGCCCAGAUGGGCUUAGCUAGUAGGUGGUGUAAAGGCUCACCUAGGCGACGAUCCCUAGCUGGUCUGAGAGGAUGACCAGCCACACGGGAACGGAGAAACGGGCCAGACUCCUACGGGAGGCAGCAGUGGGGAAUAUGGGACAAUGGGCGAAAGCCUGAUGCAGCCAUGCCGCGUGUAUGAAGAAGGCCUUCGGGUUGUAAAGUACUUUCAGCGGGGAGGCGUUACCCGAAGAAGAAGCACCGGAUAACUCCGUGCCAGCAGCCGCGGUAAUAC
rnacentral:rRNA from 1 species